rnacentral:rRNA from 1 species
AGUGAACGCUGGCGGUAGGCCUAACACAUGCCAGUCGAACGGCAGCACAGUAAGAGCUUGCUCUUACGGGUGGCGAGUGGCGGACGGGUGAGGAAUACAUCGGAAUCUACUUUUUCGUGGGGGAUAACGUAGGGAAACUUACGCUAAUACCGCAUACGACCUACGGGUGAAAGCAGGGGAUCUUCGGACCUUGCGCGAUUGAAUGAGCCGAUGUCGGAUUAGCUAGUUGGCGGGGUAAAGGCCCACCAAGGCGACGAUCCGUAGCUGGUCUGAGAGGAUGAUCAGCCACACUGGAACUGAGACACGGUCCAGACUCCUACGGGAGGCAGCAGUGGGGAAUAUUGGACAAUGGGCGCAAGCCUGAUCCAGCCAUACCGCGUGGGUGAAGAAGGCCUUCGGGUUGUAAAGCCCUUUUGUUGGGAAAGAAAAGCAGCAGGUUAAUACCCCGCUGUUCUGACGGUACCCAAAGAAAAAGCACCGGCUAACUUCGUG